UGACAACAGCAGCUGCCGAACGGCCAUCUUCGGUGGACGCUCCUAUGAGCUCACGUCAUCAUGGUAGACUGGUGGUGCAGCGACCUGCUCCAGGCAAUGCCUAUGAGACGUCUUCAGGUACGACGGUGGCAGGAUGGAGCUUUGAGGGCCUCCAGUUUGGUGGUGGUAUGCGCGUAAAAUGGAGGAAGUGGUUACACUAUCUAUUUAAAACAUGCAGCAGGCACAAAAUAAGUUUAUGGAUCGACGCAUGCUUUGCUCCUGUGCUCCUCUGUCCGUGCUAAGGUUACAGAUACCAAUAAGGCCAGUGGUAUGGUUCAGUGGAGGUAUCGGCCAGUGGUGUUGUCAAGAAUAUCGUCCCAGCCAUGCUGCUGCUUGUGCAUUGGAAGCUUUGAAGCUCCCCUUUGGCUGCAGCAGAAGUGUGUCAAAUUAUAUCAUGUGUUCCCUUCACUUGGUACUAUCCAAAAGGUUGCAAUGUUGAAACAGAAUGGUGAAAUGCAGGCCAUGAUUCCAUAGUCAGGUAUGUGCCGAUAAUCUGUAGGAUCUACCAUGAUGACAUCAUACCUACUGAUUCUGAUAUAUCGAAUGUGACCUGAGGCUAUAAUUUGGCCACUCGCAUAUAGUUGUUAAUUUGACCACUGAUCGUUGUGGACAUCUCAAUGAUGUUGUGUUGAUUACUGAGAAAAGGGUAAGACCGAUUUGAAUACUUGAUUUAUUCAUUUGCAUUCUGCACAUCUGAGCUUUCAUCAUUUGAGAUUGCUCUAUCUAUGUAUCAUUUCCAUAGUAGUUGUGUACUUCCCUAUUAGACAUGCGUAAGGGAUUUGCUUCAGUACUUCAAAAGGAGAGAUUUAAUCUCUUGUAUAUAAAUUAUAUUGUUUGGUGCACUUUUUAUGCAAUUAGCAUUUUCUAGGAACCCGGUUGAUUUUUUUAUUACAUGUGUCGGGAUUGAACCGAGAGAAUUGUCGCACCUCCCAACUGUAAGAGUUAUAAAAAUCACCUGUUUAUAUUUGGUUAUAGAGUUUAUAGACAUUUUAGAUUAGAUCAACAUAUAACUGAAUGUUGUUACCUAAUGUGUAUGGUUUUGAGUGGGAUUCCUUGGUUCACCAGGUCCAGGUCCAAUGUCUCCGAUUAGUAACCAUCUAUCGAUGGUUGCUCAUAUUACAUUUUUUCACGUACCUUUUUUGUGAUUCCUUAUCUCUAACAUACAGUUUUGGAGCCUUUAGCUUAUGUGGGAGUAGAUGAUGGAUGACUCCGAGCAACCAGUUUCUAUAUUUAUUCCAAGAAGUACACACGUCUGAGAUUCAGAAAUAUGUUGGUACACCUCUCGGUUUCAUAGCUUUGUGGUGUAGGAUUAUAAUUUUGAGUUAAGCGAAAAACAUAAAAACUGCUAUUUGCCUCGUCUGAAACAAACAUCUUAUAUUUCACAGGCUCUUGGUACGGUUCCCGGCAAUAACUCCAUUAGAAUAGAUCAGAGGGUCAGCUGUGAUGAUCCUAGAUUCCUAGGGCAAAGCUGCAAACCUCUAGGCUAUGUGUGUCUCCAUCGCAAAUUAUCCCUAUUUAUUUGUUUAGUUAAGUACAAAAUGAUAGAGGAAAUUUCUUAUUUUUAGAUUCUCAA